UCUUGUUACCCAGGCUGGAGUGCAAUGGCGCGAUCUUGGCUCACCGCAACCUCCGCCUCCUGGGUUCAGGCAAUUCUCCUGCCUCAGCCUCCUGAGUAGCUGGGACUACAGGCACGUGCCACCAUGCCCAGCUAAUUUUUUGUAUUUUUAGUAGAGACGGGGUUUCACCAUGUUGACCAGGAUGGUCUCGAUCUCUUGACCUCGUGAUCCACCCGCCUCGGCCUCCCAAAGUGCUGGCCAAACUCCUUUUUAAAAGUUCAAAUUCUUGCUCUGUGCUCUGAGCUAUAAAUAUGCUACCAUUUUACCUAAAACUUGUAAGGGCUUUGGCCAUAACUUGUUCCAUUUACAGAGGCACAAUUUAGUCCAACUGUCCUUCUGAUCUAGUGAGUUUUACUUGUCUAGUAAAACUCACUAGAUCAGAACGACAGUUGGAGCAAACUCCCUCUGCAAAUAAUGCUAAAUGUGUGUCUGUAAAUGGCACUCCGUAAAUGGACACUAAAAUUUUAUGGCUAAAAUUUUAAAAUCCAAGCUAUAAAAUCUUGAUUUGUGUUUUUCUGUAUUUUUAUGCAUACAUAAAUUUAUGUCAUAUCAUCUACAUGGUACCAAAUUAACUUAUAAAUAAAUGAGUGUUCAUAAGUUAAUAAACCCAACUGCUUUUCAAGCUUGGUAUGUUAAAUUACAUGGGAAACACUGUCAAAUAAGAAACGGGGCUUAACUUCCUUUGAGUUGUAUUUGUAUGGAUGUUAUUCAUAUGUGUUCCAAAAUUGUAUGAGAUUGCUAGACUCUGAUAGGUCUUAGUGUAUGCAGUAAAUUUCCUUAUUCUGAUGCUUUUACUGUAAAAGCUUUUUGCAAAUCCUUAAGGGUUGCAUCUUCAAGGAAAUUUAUGGAAAGGACCUUUGAUCCUGACAAGUACUCUGGAAUCCAGGUUUCUGGUAACUCUGGAGAGUGUAGCACUGGACUAGGUAAAAACCUUCAAAACUCUAAUUUUAGCACUGAUGAGUUCAUGAAGAUUGCUAACCCACCAUCAAGCAGAACAAAAAUGAUGACAUGGGACUGAAAUGAUGUCCUAUGACUCUUUGUUUGAAACCGGGUUCAUUUGCUUUCAGGCUGCUGGUCAAGACAUAGCCGAGACUGGGAAAAAAGAGCUUUAAUUGCACCUACAGUUCCACAUGGCGGGGAAGGCCUCACAAUCAUGGAGGGAGGUGAAAGGCACUUCUUAUAUCACAGCAGCAAGAGAAAAUGAAGAAGAAGCAAAAAUGGAAAGCCCUGAUAAACCCAUCAGGUCUCAUGAGAUUUAUUCACUAACAGGAGAACAGCACGGGAAAGAUCAGCCCCGGUGAUUCCAUUACCUCCCUCUGGUCCCUCCCACAACUGGUGGGAAUUCUAGGAGAUACAAUUCAAGUUGAGAUUUGAAUGGGGACACAGUCAAACCAUAUCAGAAACAUUGUUGAUUCUUUUCAUAUUUUGUUUUCCAGAGCCAAGAAAACAUUUUUGGAGCUAUUUAUAGUUUACAGCAAUUUGGUAAAGUAUACAUUUGUAAGCAAAAUUGAAACAUUUCCUGUCUACUUGAAUUCUCCAAAAUUUGGAAACUAUUCACUAGUAUUCUCAUUCUAUGGCAAUAUGGAUUUUUGUACAAGUUUUGUAAAAAUCUCUUUUCUUUUUGUAACAGGAAACAUUGGAAACACUGGUUAUUUAUCAAGGCUCUGACUGGAAUGUCGUAUUUUCAAAGGUGACCAGGUUGCUUUGGCGGAUUGAGGUCGACUCUAUAGGCCAAUAGCCUUGGAAAAAGACUGGCCUGGCACCUUGUCUAGACGGUUCCCUUACAGUGUUUCUGACCUUGUGGUACAUCUUUAUCAGAAGUGUUAAAAUAAACAAAUACAGUAACUUGGUAUCAGAAGUGGGGCAUUUUUGAAAAGAUACCCAAAACUGUGGAAGCAACUUUGGAAGUGGGUAACAGGCAGAGGUUAGAACAGCUUGGAGGACUCAGAAAAAGACAGGAACAUUUGGGAAAGUUUGAAACUCCCUAGAGACUUGUUGAAUGGCUUUGCCCAAAAUGCUGAUAGUGAUAUGGACAAUAAGGUGGUCUCCAGGCUGAGGUGGUCUCAGAUGGAGAUGAGGAACUUGUUGGGAACUGGAGUAAAGGGGACUCUUGUUAUGUUUUAGGAAAGAGAUUGGCGUCGUUUUGCCCCUGCCCUAGAGAUUUGUGGAAUUUAAAACUGGAGAAAGAUGAUUGAGGGUAUCUGGCAAAAGAAAUUUCUACACAGCAAAGCAUUCAAGAAGUGAUUGGGGUACUACUGAAGGCAUUCAGGUGUAUAAGGGAAGCAGAGCAUAUAAGUUCAGAAAAUGUGCAGCCAGACAAUGCAAUAGGAAAGAAAAUCCCAUUUUUUGAGGAGAAAUUCAAGCUGGCUGCAGGAAUUUACAUAAAUAGCAAGGAGCCUAAUGUUAAUCCCCAAGACCAGGCUAUGUCAGAGACCUUCACAGCAGCCCCUCCCAUCACAGGCCCACAGGCCCAAGAGGAAAAAGUGGUUUUACGGGCUGGGCCCAGGAUCCCUGUGCUGUGUGCAGUCUAGGGACUUGGUGCCCUGUGUCCCAGCUGCUCCAGCUGUGGCUGAAAGGGGCCAAUGUACAGCUCAGGCCAUGGCAUCAGAGAGGGCAAGCCCCAAGCUUUGGCAGCUUCCAUGUGGUGUACACAGAAGUCAAGAACUGAGGUUUGGGAACCUCAGCCUAGAUUUCAGAAAAUGUGUGGAAACGCCUGGAUGCUCAGGCAAAAGUUUGCUGCCGGCACAGGGCCCUCAUGGAGAACCUCUGCUAGGGCAGUGCAGAAGGAAAAUGUGGGGUCACAGCACCCACACAGAGUCUCUCCUGGGGCACUGCCUAGUGGAUGGAGCUAUGAGAAGAGGUCCGUUGUCCUCCAGAUCCCAGAAUGGUAGAUCCACUGGGAGCUUGCAGCAUUUACCUGGAAAAGCCACAGACAUUCAACAGCAGCCCAUGAAAAGCAACCAGGAGGGAGGCCAUACCCUGCAAAGCCAUAGGAGCAGAGCUGCCCAAGACCAUGCGAGGCCACCUUUUGCAUCAGUGUGACCUGGAGUCAAAGGAGGUCAUUUUGGAGCUUUAAAAUUUGAUUGCCCAGUCAACAGCGUCAACAGUCAUGGGCACUGGUGAAGUUCUGGAAUUGUGUAUUCCGUGAGUAUGCCUGCUGAGCACAUCGCCUCUUAACAAACCCUCUAGAGUGGUUCCCAUGGCACCCCCUAUUGAUGUGCCAAAACGUCAUCUCCGCAUGGCUGAGGGAGUUCUACAAAGACAUCUUGAAAGCAUUGUCCUGCAUGUGCCCUGUUUGGGACAUCUGAGGGAAGCCUGAAGGCUACAGUUAAUUACGAAUAAAACCUUUAAAUCAGUGGGUAGGAAGAAUGAACUUUACUGUGAACAUUUUUUGAAGAAUGAAUAUUAACAUGAUUAUUAUCAAGAGUUUUAAAUGACAUAAAUGCUUGUAAAAUUGUCUCAAGUGUUAACUGCAAAAUACAAAAGUGUAUUGAAGUGUGAUCUCAACUUUGUAAGUAUAGACACAAAUAUUUAUGGAGAGCUGCAUAGGAGAUUGAAAGGAAAUAUGCCACAAUGUUUACAGUGAUUGUUUCUAGAAAGGGGAUAUGAACCAUUGUGUUUAUAUCCCUGUUCUUUUAAAGUGUUCUGUAAGUAGGUGUUACUCUUAGAAUUAUAAAAAGUAAUAUAUUUUUCUUUAGAGACUUUAUUUGUGGAUUUUGUUUGAAGAGUUAUACAUUUGUAUGAUUCAAAUAUCAAAAUGUUUUAAGAGGGUAAACUUUGAGAAGUCUUACUGAGGGUGGAGACAGGACGUGACUCAGGAGGCAGGACUCAAUCAACUUCAGAAGCAGGGCCCAGUCACCGGACCAAAUUGAGGACUAACUAAAACGAGGAGGAGGAGGGAGCACCUUUCCAUAAGACAUACCCACCAGUGUGUCAUGUCAGUUGACCCUGUUGCCAUGGCAACCGCCAGAAGUUACCACUUCAUUCCAUGGCAACGACCCAACAACCCAGACAUUACCAUCCUUUUUCUAGAAAUGUCUGCAUAAUCUGCCCCUUAGUUUGCACAUAAUUAACGGUGGGUAUAAAUAUGACUGCAGCACUGCCUCUGGGCACCUAUUCUUGGCCCACUGCCUAUGGGGUGGCCCUAUGCUGCAGGAAGCAGUACCUCUGCUGCUGCUGUACACUGUUGGUUCAAUAAAAGUUGCUAAUACCAAAAAAAAAAAAAUUUUUUUAAAUUUGACCGCCCAGCUGGAUUUUGGAUUUACAUAGGCCCCCUUUGUUUUGUUGGCCCAUUUCUCCCAUUUGGAAUGGCUGUAUUUACCCAAUGCCCGUAUCCCCAUCAUAUCCAGGAAGUAACUAGCUUGCUUUUAAUUUUACGGGCUCAUAGUUGGAAGAGAUUUGUUAUGUCUCAGAUGAAACUUUAGACUAUGGACUUUUGGGUUAAUACUAAAAUGAGUUAAGACUUUGGGGGACUGCUGGGAAGGCAUGAUUGGUUUUGAAAUGUGAGGAUAUGAGAUUUGGAGGGGUCAUGAUCUCUGGAAUGAUAUGGCUUGGCUGUGUUUCCACCCAAAUCUCAACUUGAAUUGUGUCUCCCAGAAUUCCCACCUGUUGCGGGAGGGACCUAGGGGAGGGAAUUGAAUCAUGGGGGCCAGUCUUUCUUGUGCUAUUCUUAUGAUAGUGAAUAAGUCUAAUGAGAUCUGAUGGGUUUGUCAUGGGUUUCUGUUUUUGAUUCUUUCUCAUUUUUCUCUUGCCACCAUCAUGUAAAAAGUGCUUUUUGCCCCCAUCAUGAUUAAACUUUUUUUCUUCCCAGUU